GGCUCUGUGAUUGCUUCGCCUUAUUGGCAAUAUACGCUAUUCUGAAAUCAGAGUAUGAAAGAUAAACAAACUGUACUUUAUGAGAGCC
rnacentral:snoRNA from 14 species